CCUGUCUAGUCAUAUGGUCUAUCGCAUUAGAUGUUAUUUUUUUCUUCUUCUUGAAGGUGGAUUUCACGACUGCCCCGAGUGCUGCCCAGGGAUCAUUCUCUGAGAAAUAUGGAUUGUGGACCAGACCAUGUCCUCUCUCAGGUCAAGGAAAAGGAGACCAGGCCUCUCCUUCAUCCCUCCAACCUGGUUACUGGCUGAUGACAGAAUGGCCUGAGUGACAGAGGAGGGCUGUGGGGGUCUUUACCAGGAUUCAAGGGAAGGGAAUACAAUAACCAGGCAAGUCCGUCUCAGCCCUCACACAGCCACCACUCUGUUGUCUUGCACUUGAGGGGGAUUUAUGUCCCCACACACAUGCGCACGCACACGUUCACACACACAUCCAUGCGCACGCACGCG
rnacentral:lncRNA from 1 species